rnacentral:rRNA from 1 species
AUUGAACGCUGGCGGCAGGCCUAACACAUGCAAGUCGAACGAGUGGCGGACGGGUGAGUAAUGUCUGGGACACUGCCUGAUGGAGGGGGAUAACUACUGGAAACGGUAGCUAAUACUGCAUACCAUCAGAUGUGCCCAGAUGGGAUUAGCUGGGUGGUGGUGUACCGGCUCACCAAGGCGACGAUCCCUAGCUGGUCUGAGAGGAGGACCAGCCACACUAGACAGGAGACACGGUCCAGACUCCUACGAUAGGCAGCAGUGGGGAAUAGUGCGCAAUGGGCGCAAGCCUGAUGCAGCCAUGCCGCGUGUAUGAAGAAGGCGUUCGGGUUGUAAAGUACUUUCAGCGGGGAGGCGUUACCCGCAGAAGAAGCACCGGCUAACUCCGUGCCAGCAGCCGCGGUAAUAC